UAGGGAAUCUUCCGCAAUGGGCGAAAGCCUGACGGAGCAACGCCGCGUGAGUGAUGAAGGUUUUCGGAUCGUAAAGCUCUGUUGCCAGGGAAGAACGUCUUGUAGAGUAACUGCUACAAGAGUGACGGUACCUGAGAAGAAAGCCCCGGCUAACUACGUGCCAGCAGCCGCGGUAAUACGUAGGGGGCAAGCGUUGUCCGGAAUUAUUGGGCGUAAAGCGCGCGCAGGCGGCUCUUUAAGUCUGGUGUUUAAUCCCGAGGCUCAACUUCGGGUCGCACUGGAAACUGGGGAGCUUGAGUGCAGAAGAGGAGAGUGGAAUUCCACGUGUAGCGGUGAAAUGCGUAGAGAUGUGGAGGAACACCAGUGGCGAAGGCGACUCUCUGGGCUGUAACUGACGCUGAGGCGCGAAAGCGUGGGGAGCAAACAGG
rnacentral:rRNA from 1 species